UGUUUACAUACUUCUAAAAGGAACAUUAAAGAUAAGAAGUUAAAUUUGCAGAGUCAGUUGUCGAAUAACAUUCAUUAUGAAAACACUUUAUAGCUUAAUGUAUUGGUGGAUACUCCGAUUAUUUUAUUCAAAUAUGUAAUAAAGCCCCUAAGAAAGUAAAUGAAUUUAGUUCGGUAGUAAAUGUUAGUUAAGAAAUAUUAAUUUAUACGAAUUAAAUCUACCCCCUACAUGUAAAUAAUUUACUUAAUAAAUCUGAAGAAAAUCCUAGCAGACAAAUAAAGACACCACGGGAUCGGGCAGGAUGCUAAGAUAAAAGGGUAUGAUAUUGCUCGGUAUUUAACUUGUUAUCCUUAUUCAACAUCAAAAAUUCAUUAAAACAAACGACUCGUCGCUCAGUACGAUAUUUUCGCGGUUCGAAGAUUUAUUAGUAAUUUAAUUUUGUUUUUAAACGUACUUGGGUUUAUUUAAAAAAAUAAAAAAUGUUCGUUUAAAGCACUAAGUAAAUUACUCGAAUUCUAAAAAAAAAAUAAGACCAAGUUUAGAACAUGACGGCAUUCACAGACGUGUCGCUUAUGGAUUCUUACAUAAUUAUGUAUAACUAACAAUACAAUAUUCCAGUAAAAAAUAUUAAAUAAUUGGACAUAUUUUUUUAACACUAACUAAGUAACCAGAACUUAAAUUACUACCCAAAUUCACUAGGGCGGUUUGCAGAAUAUCCACUUCGGAUUUUCUUAAAACCAAUUUCGAUUUGGUCUAUAUUUGGAAAGUUGUUUUUAAAAGUAUGUUAUAAAAUCCCAGGAGUACUAUAUCUUUUAUGUUAUCAAAAAUAUUUAAAAAAAAAAAAAAGGCUAAGGCUAGUUUGAAGAUAUGGAGGAAUAAAGCUUAAUUUAUGUACUCAUAAAAAUUAAA